rnacentral:rRNA from 1 species
UACAGGGGGGGCAAGCGUUGUUCGGAAUUACUGGGCGUAAAGGGCUCGUAGGUGGCCAACUAAGUCAGAUGUGAAAUCCCUCAGCUUAACUGGGGAACUGCGUCUGAUACUGGAUGGCUUGAGUUUGGGAGAGGGAUGCGGAAUUCCAGGUGUAGCGGUGAAAUGCGUAGAUAUCUGGAGGAACACCGGUGGCGAAGGCGGCAUCCUGGACCAGCACUGACACUGAGGAGCGAAAGCCAGGGGAGCAAACGGG